rnacentral:rRNA from 1 species
CAAUUUAAACAACGAAGAGUUUGAUCCUGGCUCAGGAUGAACGCUAGCGACAGGCUUAACACAUGCAAGUCGAGGGGCAGCACAGGUAGCAAUACCGGGUGGCGACCGGCGCACGGGUGAGUAACGCGUAUGCAACUUACCUAUCAGAGGGGGAUAACCCGGCGAAAGUCGGACUAAUACCGCAUGAAGCAGGGGCCCCGCAUGGGGAUAUUUGCUAAAGAUUCAUCGCUGAUAGAUAGGCAUGCGUUCCAUUAGGCAGUUGGCGGGGUAACGGCCCACCAAACCGACGAUGGAUAGGGGUUCUGAGAGGAAGGUCCCCCACAUUGGUACUGAGACACGGACCAAACUCCUACGGGAGGCAGCAGUGAGGAAUAUUGGUCAAUGGCCGAGAGGCUGAACCAGCCAAGUCGCGUGAGGGAUGAAGGUUCUAUGGAUCGUAAACCUCUUUUAUAAGGGAAUAAAGUGCGGGACGUGUCCCGUUUUGUAUGUACCUUAUGAAUAAGGAUCGGCUAACUCCGUGCCAGCAGCCGCGGUAAUACGGAGGAUCCGAGCGUUAUCCGGAUUUAUUGGGUUUAAAGGGUGCGUAGGCGGCCUUUUAAGUCAGCGGUGAAAGUCUGUGGCUCAACCAUAGAAUUGCCGUUGAAACUGGGGGGCUUGAGUAUGUUUGAGGCAGGCGGAAUGCGUGGUGUAGCGGUGAAAUGCAUAGAUAUCACGCAGAACCCCGAUUGCGAAGGCAGCCUGCCAAGCCAUUACUGACGCUGAUGCACGAAAGCGUGGGGAUCAAACAGGAUUAGAUACCCUGGUAGUCCACGCAGUAAACGAUGAUCACUAGCUGUUUGCGAUACACUGUAAGCGGCACAGCGAAAGCGUUAAGUGAUCCACCUGGGGAGUACGCCGGCAACGGUGAAACUCAAAGGAAUUGACGGGGGCCCGCACAAGCGGAGGAACAUGUGGUUUAAUUCGAUGAUACGCGAGGAACCUUACCCGGGUUUGAACGCAUUCGGACCGAGGUGGAAACACCUUUUCUAGCAAUAGCCGUUUGCGAGGUGCUGCAUGGUUGUCGUCAGCUCGUGCCGUGAGGUGUCGGCUUAAGUGCCAUAACGAGCGCAACCCUUGCCACUAGUUACUAACAGGUAAAGCUGAGGACUCUGGUGGGACUGCCAGCGUAAGCUGCGAGGAAGGCGGGGAUGACGUCAAAUCAGCACGGCCCUUACAUCCGGGGCGACACACGUGUUACAAUGGCGUGGACAAAGGGAGGCCACCUGGCGACAGGGAGCGAAUCCCCAAACCACGUCUCAGUUCGGAUCGGAGUCUGCAACCCGACUCCGUGAAGCUGGAUUCGCUAGUAAUCGCGCAUCAGCCAUGGCGCGGUGAAUACGUUCCCGGGCCUUGUACACACCGCCCGUCAAGCCAUGGGAGCCGGGGGUACCUGAAGUCCGUAACCGAAAGGAUCGGCCUAGGGUAAAACUGGUGACUGGGGCUAAGUCGUAACAAGGUAGCCGUACCGGAAGGUGCGGCUGGAACACCUCCUUUCUGGAGC